rnacentral:rRNA from 1 species
GAUCCUGGCUCAGGACGAACGCUGGCGGCGCGCCUAACACAUGCAAGUCGAACGAGAGGAUGAGGAGCUUGCUCUUCAAAUCGAGUGGCGAACGGGUGAGUAACGCGUGAGGAACCUGCCUCAAAGAGGGGACAACAGUUGGAACGACUGCUAAUACCGCAUAAGCCCACGGCUCGGCAUCGAGCAGAGGGAAAGGAGUGAUCCGCUUUGAGAUGGCCUCGCGUCCGAUUAG